CUUAUAUAUAUACAUACAGUUGUACAGACACAAGUUAUCUCAAUAGUGUUCAUCAUGAGUGUUGUGGAGAGAGACAUAGAUGAUCUGCCCAGGAAUCCAGCUAACUACACCGCCUUGACGCCGCUAUGGUUUCUGGAGCGAUCCGCGCUUGUCCACCCGAACCAAAAUUCGCUGAUUUAUGGAUCGGUAAGGUUCACGUGGAGCCAAACUUACCGACGGUGUCGCCAGCUGGCCUCCGCCCUCAACAAGCGUGCCGUCACCUUUGGCAGCACUGUUGCAGUUAUUGCGCCAAACAUCCCAGCCUUGUUUGAAGCUCAUUUUGGCAUUCCUAUGUCUGGUGCCGUAUUAAAUGCUGUCAAUAUCCGUCUAAAUGCGGAAGCUAUUGCAUUUCUUUUGGGACAUUCACAGUCUGAUGUUAUAAUGGUGGAUCAAGAGUUCUAUUCGUUGGCAGAGGAAGCAUCGAAAAUUAUAGCAGACAAAAGCGAGGGAAAACUUAAACCUCCAACUUUGAUUGUUAUUUCUGAUGACAAUUGUGAUCCAAAGUCACUCCAAUAUGCACUGGGAAGAGGAGCCAUUGAAUACGAAAAGUUUCUUGAAACUGGUGAUCCGGACUUUGCAUGGAAACCGCCUGAGGAUGAAUGGCAUAGCAUUGCUCUGGGUUAUACCUCUGGUACAACAGCUAGUCCUAAAGGAGUAGUCUUGCAUCAUCGAGGGGCAUAUCUCAUGGCUCUGAGUAAUCUUGUUAUAUGGGAAAUUAAAGAAGGAGCUGUUUACUUAUGGACUUUGCCCAUGUUCCACUGUAAUGGUUGGUGUUUCCCUUGGACUCUUGCAGCACUUUGUGUUGCAAGCAUAUGCCUCAGACAGGUCACAGCUAAGGGGGUAUAUUCAGCUAUAGCUAAUCUUGGUGUCACCCAUUUUUGUGCUGCUCCUGUGGUUCUUAAUAACAUAGUAAAUGCAUCCAAAGAAGACACCGUCCUUCCCCUCCCUCGUGUCGUCCAUGUAAUGACAGCAGGGGCCGCUCCACCACCUUUUGUUCUCUCUGCAAUGUCAAAACGUGGCUUUAAGGUUACACACACUUAUGGGCUUUCUGAAACAUAUGGUCCCUCUACUGUAUGUGCAUGGAAGCCCGAGUGGGACUUGCUGCCUCCUGAAGACCAAGCCCGUAUGAAUGCAAGACAAGGGGUCCGAUACAUUGGCCUUGAAGGUCUAGAAGUAGUUAAUACUCAAAACAUGAGGCCUGUGCCUACUGAUGGGGCAACGGUUGGAGAAAUUGUGUUUAGGGGUAACGUUGUAAUGAAGGGCUAUCUUAAGAACCCUAAAGCAAACAAAGAGACUUUUGCCAAUGGUUGGUAUCACUCUGGUGAUCUGGCUGUGAAGCAUCCAGAUGGUUAUAUCGAAAUCAAAGACAGAUCCAAAGAUAUAAUCAUAUCAGGAGGUGAAAAUAUUAGCAGCGUCGAGGUAGAGAACGUUCUGUACCAGCAUCCAGCAAUUCUUGAAGUUUCGGUGGUGGCCCGGCCAGACGAGCGAUGGGGGGAAUCACCUUGUGCAUUUGUGACAUUGAAGUCCAAUGUCCAUGCAUCUAAUCAGCAACAACUCACAGAAGAUAUAAUGAAGUUCAGUCGAUCAAAGAUGCCCGCAUACUGGGUUCCAAAAUCAGUAGUCUUUGGGUCAUUGCCAAAAACGGCAACAGGAAAGAUACAGAAGCAUGUGUUGAGGGCCAAGGCAAAGGAGAUGGGACCAGUGAAGAAGAGUAGGCUAUAAAAUGCUAAAUGCUGCUUGAAACAACAUAUAUAUUCACAAUGCCAUCUUAUAGCCUUUCUGUUGAUCCUUUUAGCUAAGGAAAGGGAGAGCGUACGGCUAUUCCCAUUUAGGUGCUGCAAACGUAGUCGCAAACGAGUACGUGCCUCAAGCGGAAGCCGGAGGAUAAGUUAGGACAAACCAGAACUUUCCUCAGGCAGAAGGACUAGGCACUGAUCCUGGUCUUGUUUUUGAUAAAGCCCUGGAAUGUUUUAAAGAUAAAUAUGUAAGUAUAUAGUAAUAUACACUCAUUCGGACUGAUUGUCUGAGAGUUCUGUUUUGCUUGAUAGGGUGUGACCAUCGUUGCACUUCGUUUGAGGGCAGAUUUGUAAAUUUGCACAAUAUUUUAACAGAUAUACAACAGUUGUGAUGAAGCCUACAAGCUCACAGAAAAUGGAGAGUCGCACGUGCUGCCUGAAUACACUGAUCAAUAAGGGUUGUGCCUGACGGAGACUCACCAUGUGCUCGACUGCAUCGAUGGGAUCUUGGAACAUUUCAUGUUCUACAACAGAGCUACUUUAAAGGAUGUAUGAGAAACAAUCGAGACUGGGUGUUGCUAUGGUCCUAAAAGAGGCGACUUCAACGUGGAAGAGCAUAUUGAAGCUGAUGAUCCUGUUGCAAACAAGAAGGUUCCCAGGCUUGGCUUCUAUGCAUCUCUGCUGACAAUCAUCUUGUGGCAUUUGCUGUUCUAACAUCCUUUGUUUUAAGAAACUAUGUGUGAUUUGUAUGUCAAGACAAUGUUUGAUGAGACAUUUGUGGAAA